rnacentral:rRNA from 1 species
UACGAGGGGGGCUAGCGUUGCUCGGAAUCACUGGGCGUAAAGCGCACGUAGGCGGAUCUUUAAGUCAGGGGUGAAAUCCUGGAGCUCAACUCCAGAACUGCCUUUGAUACUGGGGAUCUCGAGUCCGGGAGAGGUGAGUGGAACUCCGAGUGUAGAGGUGAAAUUCGUAGAUAUUCGGAAGAACACCAGUGGCGAAGGCGGCUCACUGGCCCGGUACUGACGCUGAGGUGCGAAAGCGUGGGGAGCAAACAGG